ACUCCCCAGGCGGAGUGCUUAAUGCGUUAGCUGCAGCACUAAGGGGCGGAAACCCCCUAACACUUAGCACUCAUCGUUUACGGCGUGGACUACCAGGGUAUCUAAUCCUGUUUGAUCCCCACGCUUUCGCACAUCAGCGUCAGUUACAGACCAGAAAGUCGCCUUCGCCACUGGUGUUCCUCCAUAUCUCUGCGCAUUUCACCGCUACACAUGGAAUUCCACUUUCCUCUUCUGCACUCAAGUUUUCCAGUUUCCAAUGACCCUCCACGGUUGAGCCGUGGGCUUUCACAUCAGACUUAAAAAACCGCCUACGCGCGCUUUACGCCCAAUAAUUCCGGAUAACGCUUGCCACCUACGUAUUACCGCGGCUGCUGGCACGUAGUUAGCCGUGGCUUUCUGAUUAGGUACCGUCAAGAUGUGCACAGUUACUUACACAUAUGUUCUUCCCUAAUAACAGAGUUUUACGAUCCGAAGACCUUCAUCACUCACGCGGCGUUGCUCCGUCAGGCUUUCGCCCAUUGCGGAAGAUUCCCUACUGCUGCCUCCCGUAGGAGUCUGGACCGUGUCUCAGUUCCAGUGUGGCCGAUCACCCUCUCAGGUCGGCUAUGCAUCG
rnacentral:rRNA from 1 species